rnacentral:rRNA from 1 species
GUUGCGGUUGCUUUACACAUGCAAGUCGAACGGUGCUUUAGGGCACAGUGGCGGACGGGUGCCGCAACGCGUGAGAAUCUGGCUCUAGGUCUGGGACAACCACUGGAAACGGUGGCUAAUACCGGAUGUGCCGAGAGGUGAAAGGUUAACUGCCUAGAGAUGAGCUCGCGUCUGAUUAGCUAGUUGGAAGUGUAAUGGACUCCCAAGGCGACGAUCAGUAGCUGGUCUGAGAGGACGAUCAGCCACACUGGGACUGAGACACGGCCCAGACUCCUACGGGAGGCAGCAGUGGGGAAUUUUCCGCAAUGGGCGAAAGCCUGACGGAGCAAUACCGCGUGAGGGAGGAAGGCUCUUGGGUCGUAAACCUCUUUUCUCAGGGAAGAACACAAUGACGGUACCUGAGGAAUAAGCAUCGGCUAACUCCGUGCCAGCAGCCGCGGUAAUACGGAGGAUGCAAGCGUUAUCCGGAAUGAUUGGGCGUAAAGCGUCCGCAGGUGGCAAUGUAAGUCUGCUGUUAAAGAGUGAGGCUCAACCUCAUAAGAGCAGUGGAAACUACAUAGCUAGAGUACGUUCGGGGCAGAGGGAAUUCCUGGUGUAGCGGUGAAAUGCGUAGAGAUCAGGAAGAACACCGGUGGCGAAGGCGCUCUGCUAGGCCGUAACUGACACUGAGGGACGAAAGCUAGGGGAGCGAAUGGGAUUAGAUACCCCAGUAGUCCUAGCCGUAAACGAUGGAUACUAGGCGUGGCUUGUAUCGACCCGAGCCGUGCCGUAGCUAACGCGUUAAGUAUCCCGCCUGGGGAGUACGCCGGCAACGGUGAAACUCAAAGGAAUUGACGGGGGCCCGCACAAGCGGUGGAGUAUGUGGUUUAAUUCGAUGCAACGCGAAGAACCUUACCAAGGCUUGACAUGUCGCGAAUCUUGAUGAAAGUUGAGAGUGCCUUCGGGAGCCGCGAACCAGGUGGUGCAUGGCUGUCGUCAGCUCGUGUCGUGAGAUGUUGGGUUAAGUCCCGCAACGAGCGCAACCCUCGUUUUUAGUUGCCAGCAUUAAGUUGGGCACUCUAGAGAGACUGCCGGUGACAAACCGGAGGAAGGUGGGGAUGACGUCAAGUCAGCAUGCCCCUUACGCCUUGGGCUACACACGUACUACAAUGCUCCGGACAGAGGGCAGCAAGCAUGCGAAUGCAAGCAAAUCCCGUAAACCGGAGCUCAGUUCAGAUCGCAGGCUGCAACUCGCCUGCGUGAAGGAGGAAUCGCUAGUAAUUGCAGGUCAGCAUACUGCAGUGAAUUCGUUCCCGGGCCUUGUACACACCGCCCGUCACACCAUGGAAGCGUGGUAGUGCCCGAAGUCAUUACUCCAACCUUUCGGGGGGGAGGAUGCCUAAGGCAGGA